UAGGAAUCGUUCGUUUACCAAAACGGCUGUCGUAGGACGUACGCCAUCCGCGUGAUAAGUAUCCAAGGACACUUCGACUCGGAAAAUGCCAUGGAUUUUCUACUUUCCAAUAUCUAAAUGGAUAUUAAGGCGUAUUCAUCUUGGAGAAUUAAAUAAUAAUAGAUGAACUCAAAUUACAAUCAAAGUACAGUAGAGACAACAGAUUAUUAAAAGAAGAGUAAGACGAUACUUAAUUAGAAGACUCAGUGAAAAUUAAUACUGGGAAUGAAAUAUGAAUAUUAAAAAUUGAGAAUUGAGUAUAUGUAUUCUGGCAAAAAAGGCAUAAGGUCAAUAGAAAUAAUUAGUGUUAAGUAUAAUUACUGACUAAUUGUAUUAAAGUGACGAUUAUUGUGACACAUUAAUGAUGAGAUAGACAAUGCAGUAAAUUGCUGGAGUAUUUCAAUUCAGCUAUAUAUUGUGAUAUGUGCUUUAACUCUGUAUAUAUAACAAUAUUGUAUGGUUAAGUAUGUAAAAGUAUAUAGGUAAAAUAUCAGGAAGAUUUAUUUGAAAUAUGUUAGUAUAUAAAAGUUUCAUUUUAUAUGUAGGAUUCUUUUCAUGACCGCAACGUUAACUCGAUGCAAGGCGCUCUUCCGUAGAAUGGCCAUAAGAGCGUCUUUUGUAAUUGCUGUAUUAUAUUCCUUAAUUAACCAUUUGGUUAAUAGCACCUAUUAAUUAGACUGUGAAAUAUAUAAUACCUACUUCUUCA